AGAAAACUGGACGAAUGGAGGGAGGCAAAGAUGGAGAAAGGGAGUAAUGAAGCUAUGUAUGUGCUUUCCCUGGUGGUUUUAAUGGGUGCAGAAAGCCAUGAAGCUCACGAGGACGCUCGCAACGAAAGAAACAACAUUUCUACUAUUCCUUGUACUCAACAAUGAAGAGAGUUCUCUCCUGCACUGCUGAUGCGUGAGGUUAUCCAGUUCAACCCCAUCAAUGGUCAAAGCCCCC
rnacentral:lncRNA from 1 species